AACGAACGCUGGCGGCAGGCUUAACACAUGCAAGUCGAACGCCCCGCAAGGGGAGUGGCAGACGGGUGAGUAACGCGUGGGAACAUACCCUUUUCUACGGAAUAGCUCUGGGAAACUGGAAUUAAUACCGUAUACGCCCUACGGGGGAAAGAUUUAUCGGGGAAGGAUUGGCCCGCGUUGGAUUAGCUAGUUGGUGGGGUAAAGGCCUACCAAGGCGACGAUCCAUAGCUGGUCUGAGAGGAUGAUCAGCCACAUUGGGACUGAGACACGGCCCAAACUCCUACGGGAGGCAGCAGUGGGGAAUAUUGGACAAUGGGCGCAAGCCUGAUCCAACCAUGCCGCGUGAGUGAUGAAGGCCUUAGGGUUGUAAAGCUCUUUCACCGAUGAAGAUAAUGACGGUAGUCGGAGAAGAAGCCCCGGCUAACUUCGUG
rnacentral:rRNA from 1 species